UUUCAACAAAAACAAAAUAAAGUAAAAACAAAGGAUAGUUAAUAUAUUUCAGACUAUUCAAUGGAAUGCUUUCCUGCUUUAUGACAUUGAGUCUUAGAUUCUUUCUCUAUUCUAGCCAAAACUCACCUUGCAUCUCUCAGAUAAAGGACUUGCCGUCUAAUGUCGACUUUGCUUAAUGGCGCUAAUCUGCUUCAUUAACAAGAAGAUCAGUCCUGCUGGCCAAAGAGGUUAAAUCAGUUUACUUUAAAUGCCAUUGCCCGAAUUUGGACCUGGUCAUGUGGAUGAGCCCAAAUCAGGUGCCCGCUUUUGUUGCCCCCAAAUGAGCAAUCUCUUGGUUGGCCUCCAACUGCCUGGAAAUUCAAAUGUUCUUCUGAAGAUUUGACACUGACUCUAGUAUCAUUUAAUAAUUUUUAUGAACACCUUAACCACAAAAUUGAGAGAAUUAAGCAAUGAAUGAUGCCAGGAUGGCCGGACUGCUAACAUCCUAGAAGAAUGAACUCAAAUUACAAGGGACGGAGCCCAAUUACAUAAACAAUCUACUCAAAACACAGAGAAGCUCAAGAGAAACUUAGAUUAAAAUUAUACAUUCUUACCUGGUUUAUUGCACCUCCUCUUUGUGAAGGAGAAUGAUAAUCAUCGUUUUUAUGACUUAUUGCCGGUGGAUUUAUUUGCUCAUGUUGGUCACAGUCAUAGUGGAUAAUAGUGUGCUUCUAUGUAAAGCACAGAUCAAACCUUCUGGUCAAAAAUUUGAAGGGCAUUCAGUUAGAGCAAAGCAAAUCAGUAUUAAGUGGUUAAAAUAGGAUGAAAUUCAGCAAAGAGUGGUAGAUAAAUACUAGUGGCCCAAACAAGAUAGCGUUUCUCACUCAUGUAAAAUCUAAAAGUGAGUUGCCCGGUACUGGGAUGGCCGCUCUGUGGUGAUGAAACCCAGACCCCUCGCGUCCUGUUGCUCCACCAACUUCAACCUGUGGCUUCUACUUACAAUCCUGGAUAUCUGCUCAAUUCCCACUCACUAGGUUUACAUUCCAGCUGAAGAAAGAAAGAAAGGAACAGAAGCACACGCCCUCCCUUUUACAUCUUUGACACGCACGCACAUUUGUGUAUGCAUGUUUGUGUGUGUGUGAGAAAACAUA